GGGGCCGUUGAUUCGGGAUUAUUGGGCGUAAGCGCGUGUAGGCGGGAAGACAGGUCAGGUGUGAAAUCCCUUGGCUCAACCAAGGAACUGCAUCUGAAACCAUUUUCCUCGAGUACGAUAGGGGAGGGCGGAAUUCCCAGUGUAGAGGUGAAAUUCAUAGAUAUUGGGAGGAACACCAGUGGCGAAGGCGACCCUCUGGAUCGAUACUGACGCUGAGACGCGAAAGCGUGGGUAGCAAACAGGAUUAGAUACCCUGGUAGUCCACGCUGUAAACGAUGUGCACUAGGUGUUGGAGGUACUUAAUCCUCCAGUGCCGCAGCUAACGCAUUAAGUGCACCGCCUGGGGAUUACGGCCGCAAGGUUAGAACUCAAAGGAAUUGACGGGGGCCCGCACAAGCGGUGGAGUAUGUGGUUUAAUUCGACGCAACACGCAAAACCUUACCUGGGCUUGACAUGCUGGGAUUAGUUCUGAGAAAUCAGAGCGAUUGCCUUCGGGUGUAACCAGCACAGGUGCUGCAUGGCUGUCGUCAGCUCGUGUCGUGAGAUGUUGGGUUAAGUCCCGCAACGAGCGCAACCCUUACCAUUAGUUGCCAUCAUUCAGUUGGGCACUCUAAUGGAACUGCCGGUGUCAAACCGGAGGAAGGUGAGGAUGACGUCAAGUCCUCAUGGCCUUUAUGCCCAGGGCUACACACGUACUACAAUGGUCAAUACAACGGGCUGCAAGCUCGCAAGAGCAAGCAAAUCCCUGAAAGUUGUCCCCAGUUCGGAUUGGAGUCUGCAACUCGACUCCAUGAAGUUGGAAUCGCUAGUAAUCGCGGAUCAGCAGGCCGCGGUGAAUACGUUCUCGGGCCUUGUACACACCGCCCGUCACACCACGAGAGUCAAUUGCACCAGAAGUCGUUGGGCUAAUCCCUAUCAAAUGGGAAAGGCAGACGCCUAAAGUGUGGUUGGUGAUUGGGGUGAAGUCGUAACC
rnacentral:rRNA from 1 species